rnacentral:rRNA from 1 species
CUCCUACGGGAGGCAGCAGUGAGGAAUAUUGGUCAAUGGACGAGAGUCUGAACCAGCCAAGUAGCGUGAAGGAUGAAGGUUCUAUGGAUUGUAAACUUCUUUUAUACGGGAAUAAACGGAUCCACGUGUGGAUUUUUGCAUGUACCGUAUGAAUAAGGAUCGGCUAACUCCGUGCCAGCAGCCGCGGUAAUACGGAGGAUCCGAGCGUUAUCCGGAUUUAUUGGGUUUAAAGGGAGCGUAGGCCGGAGAUUAAGCGUGUUGUGAAAUGUAGAUGCUCAACAUCUGAACUGCAGCGCGAACUGGUUUCCUUGAGUACGCACAAAGUGGGCGGAAUUCGUGGUGUAGCGGUGAAAUGCUUAGAUAUCACGAAGAACUCCGAUUGCGAAGGCAGCUCACUGGAGCGCAACUGACGCUGAAGCUCGAAAGUGCGGGUAUCGAACAGGAUUAGAUACCCUGGUAGUCCGCACGGUAAACGAUGGAUGCCCGCUGUUGGUCUGAAUAGGUCAGCGGCCAAGCGAAAGCAUUAAGCAUCCCGCCUGGGGAGUACGGCCGCAAGGUUAAAACUCAAAUGAAUUGACGGGGGCCCGCACAAGCGGUGGAGCAUGUGGUUUAAUUCGAUGCAACGCGAAGAACCUUACCUGGUCUUGACAUCCACGGAAGUUUUCAGAGAUGAGAAUGUGCCUUCGGGAGCCGUGAGACAGGUGCUGCAUGGCUGUCGUCAGCUCGUGUUGUGAAAUGUUGGGUUAAGUCCCGCAACGAGCGCAACCCUUAUCCUUUGUUGCCAGCGGUCCGGCCGGGAACUCAAAGGAGACUGCCAGUGAUAAACUGGAGGAAGGUGGGGAUGACGUCAAGUCAUCAUGGCCCUUACGACCAGGGCUACACACGUGCUACAAUGGCGCAUACAAAGAGAAGCGACCUCGCGAGAGCAAGCGGACCUCAUAAAGUGCGUCGUAGUCCGGAUUGGAGUCUGCAACUCGACUCCAUGAAGUCGGAAUCGCUAGUAAUCGUGGAUCAGAAUGCCACGGUGAAUACGUUCCCGGGCCUUGUACACACCGC